rnacentral:snoRNA from 1 species
AAAUUCGAUAAAUGAUGAAAGAUCAAUUGCAACAUAGAGUCAAGCUCUGAGCCCUCAACUCGCUAGAUGGCACGGAAGAGACUUGCUUAUUUAAAAUCUGAUAUUAUUAAAUUU